rnacentral:rRNA from 1 species
UCCGGCAACGAGCGCAACCCACACCCUUAGUUGCCAGCAUUUGGUUGGGCACUCUAGGGGAACUGCCCGUGAUAAGCGGGAGGAAGGUGUGGAUGACGUCAAGUCCUCAUGGCCCUUACGGGUUGGGCUACACACGUGCUACAAUGGCAGUGACAAUGGGUUAAUCCCAAAAAACUGUCUCAGUUCGGAUUGGGGUCUGCAACUCNACCCCAUGAAGUCGGAAUCGCUAGUAAUCGCGUAACAGCAUGACGCGGUGAAUACGUUCCCGGGCCUUGUACACAC